rnacentral:rRNA from 1 species
UGGCGAACGGGUGAGUAACACGUGGGUGAUCUGCCCUGCACUCUGGGAUAAGCCUGGGAAACUGGGCUAAUACCGGAUAGGACCAUGCUUUAGUGUGUGUGGUGGAAAGUUUUUUCGGUGUAGGAUGAGCCCGCGGCCUAUCAGCUUGUUGGUGGGGUAAUGGCCUACCAAGGCGGCGACGGGUAGCCGGACUGAGAGGUUGGUCGGCCACAUUGGGACUGAGAUACGGCCCAG